CAACCCUUUUUUGUAAUUGACCCGUUUUGACCCGAACCUGUUUUGGCCCGAACCCAUUUUGACCCAUGACCCGACCCGAACCGACCCGUUUGCCAGGUCUAGUUUCAGGUAGGGGGGGCAAUUCUGACCCAAAUGCAUAAACAUGGGUCAUUUUGGACCCUAAUCUAAUUAUUAUGGGUUAAAUUGGGUCUCCUUGCAAUAAUUCGCGGGUCCAAUUGGGUCAGAACUAAACUGGAGAAAUAAGUUGAAGGGUCAAUUUGGGUUUAGAAGGAAAAAGGGACGGGUUGAACGGGUUAUGAGAAGAAAAAAGGAACGGGUUCUAUAGGGUUUCUUCUAAGUUCUACUCACAAGUCAAAAGCAGCGGGCGACGACCUCCGCCAUCUCCUCCGCCACAGACCUCCGCCGUCUCCUCCGCCACAAACCCACAUCGUCUUCGACGUCUCCUCCGGCACAAACCCCCACCGUCUCCGCCAUCAUCUCCUCCGAUCGUCGCCUCCAUCAGUCCGAAGAUUUUUAUCUAUUGGUGGCUUGAAGAAACUGAUUAUAUUCAUCAGUUCAUAUGGUCUGCAGUGAUGUCGUCUAUAAGGGUAUAUGAUCCAUUUACAUAAAGCAUUGUUUGUUGGGAGAUCCUAAAAGAUGUGUCUCACUUGAACCUCAUGAAAUAACUAACAAUCUACUAAUCUUAUCUUGGUCUCAAGGUAAGUUCAGAUACCCUUAGAGGAUAUGAUUUCUAGGUGAUCAACAAUCUUUAGCAUAUUUUUUUUUGUUAUAUUUGAUCAAAGUUUCUUGAAUGUAGACUUGUAUUUUUGAAUCUUGAGAAUAGAAUUUGUUAUAUCAGUGACAAAAACUCUCUCAAGCAUAUCUAUCACAUCAUUCUUUCAUGUAAUUAUAACCCAAGCUUAAAGGAGUAUAAUUAGUCAUUCUGCUAAACAUGAGUAACAUUGAAUCUAAGUACCAGACUACCAGCUAUAUAAAUUUAUUCUAGCAACAAUAAGCUUCAGGAAAAAAAAAAAAAAAA